UUAGACAAAGUUCUGCAUACGAAUGGGGAAAAUACAGUGACCAUUGUUUUUACAAUAUGUUACAAAAUCAAUGAUUCCACGUUCAAGUUUCCAGGAGUGACAUAUUCAUAUAUGAUGGUCAGUUCAGAAUUAUUAACUUGGAAUCGUCAGAUAUAUAUUUCAGCAGUGCAGUAUCAGAGAUAUUAUAAAUCGUUAAAUGUCUUGAUGAAGAUGAAUCAGAUGAAGAGAUUAUAAGUCGCAGAAGGAUAUGAGUAUAUGUGAAAAAUUACGAACCAGUUACAUCUACUCAAGUCUCGUGCUGAUUUGGGUUUUGGCGAAUUGGGUGUCGGCGAACUAGGAACACACCAAGUUAAACAUAUUUUUGAGUGAUAGCAUAU